UACGAGGGGGGCGAGCGUUGUUCGGAAUUAUUGGGCGUAAAGGGUGCGUAGGCGGUUUGGUAAGUCUGAUGUGAAAUCUAUGGGCUCAACUCAUAGUCUGCAUCGGAAACUGCCGGGCUUGAGUGUGGGAGAGGUGAGUGGAAUUCCGAGUGUAGAGGUGAAAUUCGUAGAUAUUCGGAAGAACACCAGUGGCGAAGGCGGCUCACUGGCCCGUUACCGACGCUCAGGCGCGACAGCGUGGGGAGCAAACAGG
rnacentral:rRNA from 1 species